GCACUAUCAUUUUCUAUCAGUGAACCGUAAAAUUGGGGUCAAAACUCUAAUUUGGCAUUUAAAUUAGAAAGAUCAUAUCAUAAGGAACAUGUGUACUAAGUUUCAAGUUGAUUGGACUUCAACUUCAUCAAAAACUACCUUGACCAAAAACUUUAACCUGAAGCGGGACAGACGGACGAACGAACGAACGAACGAACAGACGGACGAACGGACGCACAGACCAGAAAACAUAAUGCCCCUCUACUAUCGUAGGUGGGGCAUAAAAAUGUCAACAAUAAAAUAUAAUAUCACUAAAAUGAAUUCAAUGACUGAAUGCAUAAAUUUGAUUUAAAAUACAAAAGAAACAAAAAGUACAUUUUUGAAAAAAGACUAACCAAUUAUAAAAACAUCAUUUCUUUCACAUAAAAUCAGAGCAAAUAUUGGUGAAACAUGAUUCAAAGUUUUAUCUAUGUUCAAAGAUUAUUCAUCUAAAAUAACCACAAGAUGAGCCAAGCUAAAAUUAUCAGGGGGGAAAGGAGGGAUAAAAUAACAAUGGAAAGGGGCACUAAAAAGAAAAAGUUCAACCCUUUGAAGGAACUGAGUUAGAUUGAAAUUAAUUUCUUCUAGUUGUCUGCCCAUAGACCAUUAUUUGUAUUCCCGCAUUUCAUGGGAUAUAACCAUUCAAAAUGACAGGGCCGACUCGACUAGACAUGUUUCUCAGUUGAAUUUUUCUAUCUUGCUUAUGUGAAUUUAUUUGAUGUUAUAUGACAUGUUCAAUUUGAACUUUAGUUUGGUUGUGAUUAGUCUAUGUGUAUAGUGUUGGGUAGUCUAUGGGCGCUAGUAAUUGUAGAAGAAUAUAAGAUUAACAAUGGGUACAAGACUUCUCAUAUUUAGUUCUAUAAAGAUGGCCUACUUCUUACAUCUUAUCAAUGAAUUGUAUAUGAUACAAAAAGUAGGAAGGAAAUAUUUAAAGUUUUAUCGAUCAUUACUGUUGAUUCCUUUUCCUGAAUCUGAAACUAUGCAAACACACAUUAGUGCAUAAUGGCAAUUAAAAAAACUCUGAAUAUGAUUUCAAACUCCUAUUGGCCUUUUUAAAGAGUUUUGCUUGAUCAGUCAAAUAUGAGUGUUUCCCCAUCCUUAUAAACUUUAUGGUUUAAUUUCUCUGGUGAAGAUUACUAGGGUACUAGAAAGUUUAAACAGACUCUGUCAUGUUAAAUGUAAAUGCUAAAUGAACACGGACUAGAAGUGUAACAGGACGGAUAAAUAUUAAGCAAGGAAAAUUUUAAAUUGAGAUACAAAAUGUAUAUGAGUAAUUUCCAUGCAGAAUUAGCAAUGAAAUAGUAUGUUAAAUGAAAUGAAAAAUUCUCUCUGGAUUCUUGGCAAAAUGAUUUAUCUACAAUGAAAAAAAGAUGAAAGGGUUAUGAUUUCUAAGUUUUACUGCUUUUCAUAUAUGUGUUACCAGAAUCAAAUUUAAUAUUCCUUUAAUUUUUUUUCCCACUUUCCAAAUGUAUUUAUCUUAAUUCUAUACACAAAAUAUUAAGAUUUGGGAUGAAUUUUAAGGUAAAGAAGGGAUUUGGUCCAGUAAAAAAAGAUGAAAAAUAAAUAUGUCAGAAGCUGUAAAACUGAAUUAUAGACCACCCUUAACAUAGAAUUAUUCAUAUUUUGAAUUAGAUCUGGUAGCCUUUUCUAAAUAUGAUAUAAUUUGUCCCAAGUGUAGAAGUACACUGUAAAAAUCUUUGUUUAUGCUUUCUUUUUUAAUUCAAAUUUAUUGUUUUUAAAAAAAUGCCCUACGAAAUAAUUGUGUUUUAUGGCCUUAUUUGUAGACAAUGACUUUAGAUAUCACUAUGUGAGUUAGUUCCAGACUUCAUUCUCGAACGAACAAUAGGAUAAUAGAAUGUUUAUAUCACUUAACAUAAACAUGAUGAGGAUCUACACAUUUAAAGUUUGUAUUUUCCUAACUAUUUGCACAUAAGUGCAUCAUGAUUUGUACCUUUAACACUUCAUAUAUACAUGUACCAUAUUGUAUUUAAACAUCAUAUUCUACUAUAUCAGCACCACAAACUUAGACAGCUGUAAAUUUUUUAUUUUUAGCUGUCAAUUUUUUUCACUUUAUAAAUAUUAUCUUUUAAUUUUACUCUACAAUGACUGAUUCUUUUUUAUUUCUUUAAUUUAAAAGGAUUAUAUGUAUAACUGAAAAGUUUUAAUUUUUAAGACAUUUCUUUUAUAUAGUAUUUGUUUAUCAUUAUCAACAACAUUGUACAUUGUGGUCUAUUCAAUAAAUAAGAAACAAAAAACCUACAAGAUACUAUAUUCAAUUAGUUAAUUCCACUGUAAAUUUAACUGAUGGAAAAGGUAACUUCAUUUCUAUCCAGUAAAAUAUAUAAUAACAUUAGCUAACCAUCUUUAUCAUAGUUUCAUUGUUUAAGGCCAACUAAAAUUAAUUAGUAGAUUUUCAUCCAAAUUUUUGAAAAAAAUGGGGCGGGUGGGAGGAUUUUAUAUUUUAAUUUUUAUUUCUUAUGAAACCCUCUUGUGACUAGUUCUUCAUAUAUGCAAGUGUAAUAAUAAGCUUUAAUAUAUCAUGUAUAUAGAUGUAUAAGGAAUCGUAUAUAAUUUUUCAAAGGUAAAUAAAUACCUCUGAUUGGCAACCACUGUUCCACAUGCAAUUGCUGCUUUAGAAACCUAUUUUUAGUAGACAGCAAAAACAUAGAGAAAUGCUCUCUUCAGUUCGACUACCUUCACCAAAU
rnacentral:lncRNA from 1 species